UACAGAGGUCUCAAGCGUUGUUCGGAUUCAUUGGGCGUAAAGGGUGCGUAGGCGGCGCGGUAAGUCGGAUGUGAAAUCUCAGGGCUCAACCCUGGGGCUUUUCCAGAUACGGCGCUUCUUGAGGGCAGGAGAGGAAAGCAGAAUUCCCGGUGUAGCGGUGAAAUGCGUAGAUAUCAGGAGGAACACCGAUGGCGAAGGCAGGUCUCUGGGCAUUAACUGACGCUGAGGAGCGAAAGCAUGGGGAGCGAACAGG
rnacentral:rRNA from 1 species